UUAUCUUCAGGUUUUUGACUUACUAGCUCGAAAUAAACAGUUACGAGCUCACUUGGCAUCAGAAGUAGCCGAUAAGAAAGAAGAGUUAUCAAACAUCAAGGACAAUGAAAAUGAAACAACGUUAAAGCAACUUGUCCAUCUUCGGGACCAAGAGCUAGCAGAACAAAAAGAGGAAAAUGCUGAACUGCUUCAGAAAGUUCAUUUAACUGAGAAUCAUGUCAAUAUAUUGGAUAUCCAGUGUCUACAAUUAGACCAGAGUUUGAAAGCCGAGCGCAGGCUGCGAGAGGAUGAAGUCAGCAGUCUGAGGACUAGGCUAGAAUCUUUCAUUGCCUCCUCUUCACCCGCGAGUGAAGAAGACAGCAGUGAGUGUAGAAUUAGAGAGACAAGCCUCACCUCUCGCCACCACCCAGCCACAAGUAGCAGUACAUUCUCUCGAAGAGGUUUUGAAUCAAAACCUAGAAGGUCACAUUCUCUAGCACUUUAUUCUGCUCAAGAAUUAAUGAGAUCUCCAAGCUGUCCUGGGCUCGAUGGAAUUCCUGGUAUAGAGAAGUGGCGGACAUUGUCCUCUGAUGACUGGAAACAAAACCAACACUCAGAACAAGAUCGAAAAUAACUGAAAUAUAAAGAUGAAAAAGAAACAAAAAACAACACACAAUGUGCCAGUUUCUUCACGAUAGCUGUAACGGGUAACUGUACAGAGGAAAGUUGUUGUUUUUUGUGGAAUUAUGACUGGUGAAAAAAGAACAAUACUAUAAAGUUUUAAAGGUUGCAAUUAUAAGUUUACAGGUCAUAAAAUGAAGCACCUGGAUACUGAAAGUAUACAGGAACAAUUCUGUAAAAUCAAAUUUGUUAUUUUACGUAUUUAACUGAUUUUUAAUCAGCUUGCUUCUGUAAAUGUAUAUAAUUACUGUAACAGGGUGUAGUUGCUACAUUAACUGCUUGGGUAGGAAAAAAAAACCAGCAACAUACAGAUCUUACUUGUGUAAUUUUUUUAAUUUUUUUUUCCUCUCUAUUUUAAAAAAUAUAUUUUUUUGAAUUUAUUUUACACAGGUGUUGAAGAAAGGUGCAACAUGUAGUUGUGCAAUAAUAUUCAGUAAACCAAUAAAUAUACUUAUGAUAACAG
rnacentral:misc_RNA from 1 species